CGGGUGAGUAACACGUGGGUAACCUGCCUGUAAGACUGGGAUAACUCCGGGAAACCGGGGCUAAUACCGGAUGGUUGUUUGAACCGCAUGGUUCAAACAUAAAAGGUGGCUUCGGCUACCACUUACAGAUGGACCCGCGGCGCAUUAGCUAGUUGGUGAGGUAACGGCUCACCAAGGCAACGAUGCGUAGCCGACCUGAGAGGGUGAUCGGCCACACUGGGACUGAGACACGGCCCAGACUCCUACGGGAGGCAGCAGUAGGGAAUCUUCCGCAAUGGACGAAAGUCUGACGGAGCAACGCCGCGUGAGUGAUGAAGGUUUUCGGAUCGUAAAGCUCUGUUGUUAGGGAAGAACAAGUACCGUUCGAAUAGGGCGGUACCUUGACGGUACCUAACCAGAAAGCCACGGCUAACUACGUGCCAGCAGCCGCGGUAAUACGUAGGUGGCAAGCGUUGUCCGGAAUUAUUGGGCGUAAAGGGCUCGCAGGCGGUUUCUUAAGUCUGAUGUGAAAGCCCCCGGCUCAACCGGGGAGGGUCAUUGGAAACUGGGGAACUUGAGUGCAGAAGAGGAGAGUGGAAUUCCACGUGUAGCGGUGAAAUGCGUAGAGAUGUGGAGGAACACCAGUGGCGAAAGGCGACUCUCUGGUCUGUAACUGACGCUGAGGAGCGAAAGCGUGGGGAGCGAACAGGA
rnacentral:rRNA from 1 species